UACGUAGGGGGCUAGCGUUGUCCGGAUUUAUUGGGCGUAAAGAGCGUGUAGGCGGCCAGGUAGGUCCGUUGUGAAAACUCGAGGCUCAACCUCGAGACGUCGGCGGAAACCCUCUGGCUAGAGUCCGGAAGAGGAGAGUGGAAUUCCUGGUGUAGCGGUGAAAUGCGCAGAUAUCAGGAAGAACACCCGUGGCGAAGGCGGCUCUCUGGGACGGUACUGACGCUGAGGCACGAAAGCGUGGGGAGCAAACAGG
rnacentral:rRNA from 1 species